UUUGUAGUAUAAGUAUGUUCUAUGCAAUAUUUAGAAUAUACUUACACUAUCA
rnacentral:pre_miRNA from 1 species